rnacentral:lncRNA from 1 species
AUAAUUCAAGUUACCCAGAGACAUACAUGUAUAUUGAGAAAUUUUAUGCGCAAAUCCUCAUGGCUCUCUUAUUAUUCAUAUAACCAAAGAAAAUAAUCAUACCAGUCUACUUUCAAGGGCAUAUAUCUAAUGUUUUACUCUAGCAGCAGCUGAAAAACCCAAAAUUCUCCUCAUUUUAAGCAACGGUCCACAUGGAUACUGUUGAUGCAGCUAAUGCAGAUCUGCAAAAAGUCAUAAUAAAAAUUUCUUUGUACUGUCAAUCAGAGAGUCAUAGAGAAUACAAUUUAUCUGCAAUUCUUC